GCUCAGGAUGAACGCUGGCGGCGUGCCUAAUACAUGCAAGUCGAGCGAACAGAUGAGAAGCUUGCUUCUCUGAUGUUAGCGGCGGACGGGUGAGUAACACGUGGGUAACCUACCUAUAAGACUGGGAUAACUCCGGGAAACCGGGGCUAAUACCUGAUAAUAUUUUGAACCGCAUGGUUCAAUAGUGAAAGACGGCUUCGGCUGUCACUUAUAGAUGGACCCGCGCCGUAUUAGCUAGUUGGUAAGGUAAUGGCUUACCAAGGCGACGAUACGUAGCCGACCUGAGAGGGUGAUCGGCCACACUGGAACUGAGACACGGUCCAGACUCCUACGGGAGGCAGCAGUAGGGAAUCUUCCGCAAUGGGCGAAAGCCUGACGGAGCAACGCCGCGUGAGUGAUGAAGGUCUUAGGAUCGUAAAACUCUGUUGUUAGGGAAGAACAAAUUUGUUAGU
rnacentral:rRNA from 1 species